UGACAAGUGACUGUAAUGUUGGCUGUGGGCCUCCUAUGAAAUGUGGAGCAGAGAGGCAUCCAGAUUGCUGUUUUCUUGCCCAGAGAUCCAUGACAAGAUAGUUCUUUUACUGUCUCUGAAGUGAGAGUUUUUCCCUAUGACUGUUUUCUGCAAACAAAGAAAAACAUUCAUAUUUAAAACUCCAGCAUCAGAACAGUUUGCAAGGGUUCCUUGAGUUCAAACUUCUUCACUCAUUGUAUAGAGCUAUAGAAAGAGGACAAAGGAAUAUACUCUGCUGCUCGCCUCCGUUGUCUUGGCUCUUUGUGUUAUCCCACAAUGUGGACCUCACUGUGACGACUUCACCCUUUGGACCUUGAACCGGAACUCGACUUGGCAUAUCUUUCGCUCUUAAACUCGGCUUGGCAUCAUUCCCGUGUUUGUGGCUGACUUCUGCUGCUGACUGCUGGCUUCACCUUCGACUCCAACGCUGUUCUCCAAUCCUGACUCCGGACCGGUUUAACUUCGCUACAACAUUUCGUUC
rnacentral:lncRNA from 11 species